UGUGGUAUACUACAUGCCUUGAAUGCAUAAAGUCCUGGGUUAGAUCCCCAGUACUACAU
rnacentral:tRNA from 1 species